GACGAACGCUGGCGGCGUGCUUAACACAUGCAAGUCGAACGGAAAGGCCCUGCUUUUGUGGGGUGCUCGAGUGGCGAACGGGUGAGUAACACGUGAGUAACCUGCCCUUGCCUUUGGGAUAACUUCAGGGAACUGGGGCUAAUACCGGAUAGGAGCUCCUGCUGCAUGGUGGGGGUUGGAAAGUUUCGGCGGUUGGGGAUGGACUCGCGGCGUAUCAGCUUGUUGGUGGGGUAGUGGCUUACCAAGGCUUUGACGGGUAGCCGGCCUGAGCGGGUGACCGGCCACAUUGGGACUGAGAUACGGGCCAGACGCCUACGGGAGGCAGCAGUGGGGAAUAUUGCACAAUGGGCGGAAGCCUGAUGCAGUAACGCCGCGUGCGGGAUGACGGCCUUCGGGUUGUAAACCGCUUUCGCCUGUGACGAAGCGUGAGUGACGGUAAUGGGUAAAGAAGCACCGGCUAACUACGUG
rnacentral:rRNA from 1 species